CUAAGUAGUAGUGCCGCAGGUAAGAACGUAAAUUACCUGCACAUUGCUGCUUAUUC
rnacentral:pre_miRNA from 1 species